rnacentral:rRNA from 1 species
UACAGAGGGUGCGAGCGUUAAUCGGAAUUACUGGGCGUAAAGCGCGCGUAGGCGGCUUUGCAAGUCGGGUGUGAAAUCCCCAGGCUUAACCUGGGAACUGCAUUCGAGACUGCAUCGCUAGAGUAUCGGAGAGGGAAGUGGAAUUUCAGGUGUAGCGGUGAAAUGCGCAGAUAUCGGGAAGAACACCCGUGGCGAAGGCGGUUCUCUGGGACGGUACUGACGCUGAGACGCGAAAGCGUGGGGAGCGAACAGG